AGCGAACGCUGGCGGCAGGCUUAACACAUGCAAGUCGAGCGGGCGUAGCAAUACGUCAGCGGCAGACGGGUGAGUAACGCGUGGGAACGUACCUUUUGGUUCGGAACAACACAGGGAAACUUGUGCUAAUACCGGAUAAGCCCUUACGGGGAAAGAUUUAUCGCCGAAAGAUCGGCCCGCGGCUGAUUAGCUAGUUGGUGAGGUAAUGGCCCACCAAGGAGACGACCAGUAGCUGGUCUGAGAGGAUGACCAGCCACAUGGGGACUGAGACACGGCCCAAACUCCUACGGGAGGCAGCAGUGGGGAAUAUUGGACAAUGGGCGCAAGCUUGAUCCAGCCAGGCCGCGUGAGUGAUGAAGGCCCUAGGGUUGUAAAGCUCUUUUGUGCGGGAAGAUAAUGACGGUACCGCAAGAAUAAGCCCCGGCUAACUUCGUGCCAGCCGCCGCUGUAACAC
rnacentral:rRNA from 1 species